rnacentral:rRNA from 1 species
UACGUAGGGAGCAAGCGUUGUUCGGAUUUACUGGGCGUAAAGGGUGCGUAGGCGGCUUUAUAAGUCAGUGCUGAAAUAUCCCGGCUUAACCGGGAGGGUGGCAUUGAUACUGCAGAGCUUGAGUGAAGUCGAGGUAGGCGGAAUUGACGGUGUAGCGGUGAAAUGCUUAGAUAUCGUCAAGAACACCGAUAGUGAAGACAGCUUACUAGACUUCAACUGACGCUGAGGCACGAAAGUGUGGGGAUCAAACAGG